rnacentral:rRNA from 1 species
UGGGGAAUAUUGCACAAUGGGCGCAAGCCUGAUGCAGCCAUGCCGCGUGUGUGAAGAAGGCCUUCGGGUUGUAAAGCACUUUCAGCGAGGAGGAAGGUGGUGAGCUUAAUACGCUCAUCAAUUGACGUUACUCGCAGAAGAAGCACCGGCUAACUCCGUGCCAGCAGCCGCGGUAAUACGGAGGGUGCAAGCGUUAAUCGGAAUUACUGGGCGUAAAGCGCACGCAGGCGGUUUGUUAAGUCAGAUGUGAAAUCCCCGGGCUCAACCUGGGAACUGCAUUUGAAACUGGCAAGCUAGAGUCUCGUAGAGGGGGGUAGAAUUCCAGGUGUAGCGGUGAAAUGCGUAGAGAUCUGGAGGAAUACCGGUGGCGAAGGCGGCCCCCUGGACGAAGACUGACGCUCAGGUGCGAAAAGCGUGGGGCAGCAAACAGGAUUAGAUACCCUGGUAGUCCACGCUGUAAACGAUGUCGAUUUUGGAGGUUGUGCCCUUGAGGCGUGGCUUCCGGAGCUAACGCGUUAAAUCGACCGCCU